rnacentral:rRNA from 1 species
AACGAACGCUGGCGGCAUGCUUAACACAUGCAAGUCGAACGAUAUUUUGGUGCUUGCAUCAAAAGACAGUGGCAAACGGGUGAGUAAUAUAUGGGAACGUACCGCAAAGUUCGGAACAACUUUUGGAAACGAAAGCUAAUACCGGAUACGUUCGAAAGAAGAAAGAUUUAUCGCUUUGUGAGCGGCCCAUAUUAGAUUAGCUUGUUGGUGAGGUAAGAGCUCACCAAGGCUGUGAUCUAUAGCUGGUCUGAGAGGAUGAUCAGCCACACUGGAACUUAGACACGGUCCAGACUCCUACGGGAGGCAGCAGUGGGGAAUAUUGCGCAAUGGGGGAAACCCUGACGCAGCAAUGCCGCGUGAAUGAUGAAGGCCUUCGGGUUGUAAAGUUCUUUUAUUGGGGAAGAUAAUGACUGUACCCAAAGAAAAAGCUCCGGCUAACUUCGUGCCAGCAGCCGCGGUAAUACGAAGGGAGCUAGCGUUGUUCGGAAUAACUGGGCGUAAAGAGCGUGUAGGUGGCUUAUUAAGUUAGAUGUGAAAUCCCCGGGCUUAACCUGGGAACUGCAUUUAAUACUGAUAGACUAGAGUACGAGAGGGGAAGGCGGAAUUCCGCGUGUAGCAGUGAAAUGCGUAGAUAUGCGGAGGAACACCAAGGGCGAAGGCGGCCUUCUGGCUCGAUACUGACACUGAGGCGCGAAGGCGUGGGUAGCAAACAGG